UACGUAGGUGGCGAGCGUUGUCCGGAUUUACUGGGCGUAAAGAGCGCGCAGGCGGCUGGUCAAGUCCGAUGUGAAAGCUCCCGGCUUAACUGGGAAAUUGCAUCGGAAACUGAUCGGCUGGAAGGUGGGAGAGGGUAGCGGAAUUCCCGGUGUAGUGGUGAAAUGCGUAGAGAUCCGGAGGAACACCAGUGGCGAAGGCGACACGCUGGGCCGUACCUGACACUGAUGCGCGACAGCAUGGGGAGCAAACAGG
rnacentral:rRNA from 1 species